UAGGGAAUCUUCCACAAUGGACGAAAGUCUGAUGGAGCAACGCCGCGUGAGUGAUGAAGGGUUUCGGCUCGUAAAACUCUGUUGUUGGAGAAGAACGGGUGUCAGAGUAACUGUUGACAUCGUGACGGUAUCCAACCAGAAAGCCACGGCUAACUACGUGCCAGCAGCCGCGGUAAUACGUAGGUGGCAAGCGUUGUCCGGAUUUAUUGGGCGUAAAGCGAGCGCAGGCGGUUUUUU
rnacentral:rRNA from 1 species